rfam:Ictidomys tridecemlineatus contig120291, whole genome shotgun sequence.
UGUGGUUUAGCUCAGUGGUUAAGUGCUUGCCUAGCAAGCAUGAGGCACUGGGUUAUAUCCUCAGAACCACAU